ACCAGCAUGGCAUAGGUGGUUUGAGUGUUAGACUACAACUCUGGAGACCAUGGUUCAAUUCCCUGCUCAGCCA